AAUCAACGCUGGCGGCGUGCCUAACACAUGCAAGUCGAACGCGAAAGUGGAGCAAUCCAUUAGUAGAGUGGCAAACGGGUGAGUAACGCGUGGGCGACCUGCCUUCGAGUGGGGGAUAACCUUCCGAAAGGAGGGCUAAUACCGCAUGACAUAUCGUAUUUAGAUAUACGGAUAUCAAAGCCGGGGAUCGUAAGACCUGGCGCUUGAAGAGGGGCUCGCGUCCGAUUAGCUAGUUGGUGGGGUAAAGGCUCACCAAGGCUUCGAUCGGUAUCCGGCCUGAGAGGGCGGACGGACACACUGGAACUGAGACACGGUCCAG
rnacentral:rRNA from 1 species